GAUGAACGCUAGCUACAGGCUUAACACAUGCAAGUCGAGGGACCGGCGCACGUGUGAGUAACACGUAUCCACCCUGCCCUUUACUCGGGGAUAGCCUUUCGAAAGAAAGAUUUAUACCCGAUAUAAAGGAUGGGGAUGCGUUCCAUUAGGUUGUUGGUGCGGUACCGGCUCACCAAGCCUUCGAUGGAUGUGGGUUCUGAGAGGAAGGACCCCGACAUUGGAACUGGGACACGGUCCAAACUCGUACGAGAGGCAGCAGUGAGGAAGAAUGGUCAAUGAGCGCUAGCCUGAACCAGCCAGGUAGCGUGAAGGAUGAAGGCGUGUGGGUCGUAAACUUCUUGUAUAUAAGAAUAGGUAUUAUAUGAAUAAGGAUCGGCUAACUCCGUGCCAGCAGCCGCGGUAAUAC
rnacentral:rRNA from 1 species